rnacentral:rRNA from 1 species
CAAUAGCGUAUAUUAAAGUUGUUGCGGUUAAAAAGCUCGUAGUUGGAUUUCUGCCGAGGACGACCGGUCCGCCCUCUGGGUGUGUAUCUGGUUUGGCCUGGGCAUCUUCUUGGAGAACGUAGCUGCACUUGACUGUGUGGUGCGGUGUCCAGGACUUUUACUUUGAGGAAAUUAGAGUGUUUCAAGCAGGCACACGCCUUGAAUACAUUAGCAUGGAAUAAUAAGAUAGGACCUCGGUUCUAUUUUGUUGGUUUCUAGAGCUGAGGUAAUGAUUAAUAGGGAUAGUUGGGGGCAUUCGUAUUUAACUGUCAGAGGUGAAAUUCUUGGAUUUAUUAAAGACGGACUACUGCGAAAGCAUUUGCCAAGGAUGUUUUCAUUG